rnacentral:rRNA from 1 species
UACGGAGGGGGCUAGCGUUGUUCGGAAUUACUGGGCGUAAAGCGCACGUAGGCGGCUUUGUAAGUUAGAGGUGAAAGCCCGGGGCUCAACUCCGGAACUGCCUUUAAGACUGCAUCGCUAGAAUUGUGGAGAGGUAAGUGGAAUUCCGAGUGUAGAGGUGAAAUUCGUAGAUAUUGGGAAGAACACCGAUGGCGAAGGCAGCCAUCUGGACCGACACUGACGCUGAGGCGCGAAAGCGUGGGGAGCAAACAGG